rnacentral:rRNA from 1 species
AACGAACGCUGGCGGCAUGCCUAACACAUGCAAGUCGAACGAGACCUUCGGGUCUAGUGGCGCACGGGUGCGUAACGCGUGGGAAUCUGCCCUUGGGUUCGGAAUAACAGCGAGAAAUUGCUGCUAAUACCGGAUGAUGACGUAAGUCCAAAGAUUUAUCGCCCAAGGAUGAGCCCGCGUAGGAUUAGCUAGUUGGUGAGGUAAAAGGCUCACCAAGGCGACGAUCCUUAGCUGGUCUGAGAGGAUGAUCAGCCACACUGGGACUGAGACACGGCCCAGACUCCUACGGGAGGCAGCAGUGGGGAAUAUUGGACAAUGGGCGAGAGCCUGAUCCAGCAAUGCCGCGUGAGUGAUGAAGGCCUAGGGUUGUAAAGCUCUUUACCCGGGAUGAUAAUGACAGUACCGGGAGGAAUAAGCUCCGGCUAACUCCGUG